rnacentral:rRNA from 1 species
UGCCAGCAGCCGCGGUAAUACGGAGGGUGCGAGCGUUGUUCGGAAUUACUGGGCGUAAAGCGCGCGUAGGCGGUUUGUUAAGUCAGAUGUGAAAGCCCAUGGCUCAACCAUGGACGUGCAUUUGAUACUGGCAGGCUUGAGUACUGGAGGGGGUAGUGGAAUUCCCGGUGUAGAGGUGAAAUUCGUAGAUAUCGGGAGGAAUACCGGUGGCGAAGGCGGCUUACUAAGCUACGAUUGACGCUGAGGCACGAAAGCGUGGGGAGCGAACAGGAUUAGAUA